rnacentral:rRNA from 1 species
GAUGAACGCUGGCGGCGUGCCUAAUACAUGCAAGUCGAGCGAACGGACGAGAAGCUUGCUUCUCUGAUGUUAGCGGCGGACGGGUGAGUAACACGUGGAUAACCUACCUAUAAGACUGGGAUAACUUCGGGAAACCGGAGCUAAUACCGGAUGAUAUUUUGAACCGCAUGGUUCAAAAGUGAAAGACGGUCUUGCUGUCACUUAUAGAUGGAUCCGCGCUGCAUUAGCUAGUUGGUAAGGUAACGGCUUACCAAGGCAACGAUGCAUAGCCGACCUGAGAGGGUGAUCGGCCACACUGGAACUGAGACACGGUCCAGACUCCUACGGGAGGCAGCAGUAGGGAAUCUUACGCAAUGGGCGAAAGCCUGACGGAGCAACGCCGCGUGAGUGAUGAAGGUCUUCGGAUCGUAAAACUCUGUUAUUAGGGAAGAACAUAUGUGUAAGUAACUGUGCACAUCUUGACGGUACCUAAUCAGAAAGCCACGGCUAACUACGU